rnacentral:lncRNA from 1 species
GUAUAUAUUCCCAUAACUGAAUUUAAAGCAGCUUAAGGUGGCUCGGGCCUAUUCAAAGUUUCUAUCAGAAGUGCCGUAUUUUUUGUUAUUUUAUUCUUUAAAGAAAAUGAAUCAAAUUGGUCGAAAAAAAUAGGGGGUCACGGACCAUUUAAGAUCAAAAUUUUACUUUUAAACAGGUAUGUAAAUGGGACCAUUUUUCAAUGAAAUGAUAGG